rnacentral:rRNA from 1 species
AUGAACGCUGGCGGCGUGCCUAAUACCUGCAAGUCGAGCGAACAGACGAGGAGCUUGCUCCUCUGACGUUAGCGGCGGACGGGUGAGUAACACGUGGAUAACCUACCUAUAAGACUGGGAUAACUUCGGGAAACCGGAGCUAAUACCGGAUAAUAUAUUGAACCGCAUGGUUCAAUAGUGAAAGACGGUUUUGCUGUCACUUAUAGAUGGAUCCGCGCCGCAUUAGCUAGUUGGUAAGGUAACGGCUUACCAAGGCAACGAUGCGUAGCCGACCUGAGAGGGUGAUCGGCCACACUGGAACUGAGACACGGUCCAGACUCCUACGGGAGGCAGCAGUAGGGAAUCUUCCGCAAUGGGCGAAAGCCUGACGGAGCAACGCCGCGUGAGUGAUGAAGGUCUUCGGAUCGUAAAACUCUGUUAUUAGGGAAGAACAAAUGUGUAAGUAACUAUGCACGCCUUGACGGUACCUAAUCAGAAAGCCACGGCUAACUACGUG